UACGUAGGGGCCUAGCGUUGUCCGGAAUCAUUGGGCGUAAAGAGCUCGUAGGCGGUUCGGCAAGUCACGUGUGAAAUCUCCACGCUUAACGUGGAGGCGCCACGUGAAACUGCCGUGACUCGAGUCCGGUAGGGGAGUGUGGAAUUCCCGGUGUAGCGGUGAAAUGCGCAGAUAUCAGGAGGAACACCAAUUGCGAAGGCAGCUCGCUGGAACGUAACUGACGCUGAGACGCGAAAGCGUGGGGAGCAAACAGG
rnacentral:rRNA from 1 species